AGAGACUACUAGAUGUGUCUGCUGAGCAUCAAGAGACUGAGAAGCCUGUGAUGAAUUCCAAAAAGAGAUCCAUCUAGGGUCCCUAAGAGGGUCAAAGAAAACUUUUUCCUCUACUACAACUUUCCUUUUUGAAUGGGUCUGUCAUAAUGUCCCUGUUGGGGAGGAACUGAAUAUUCUCCAGGAUACAGGUGAAACUCCAGCCCCAGACUGGGAGUCCAGAGCAAUUCCCCAGGACUGAGGUAAACUGAAGGUUUUCUGAGAGAAGGAGCUGUGGUGAGUGUCCCAUCAGAAUGUGGGAUGACACUGUGCAGGGCUGGGUCUGUGAGCACGGAGAAGGGACCCUGGGAGGCCCUGGGGCAGCAUGACCAGAGGAGUGCCCCAGUGGCUGUUCUUAUGUUAGCCUCUGGCCAGCUGUGCCCCAAGGUAGCUGGACACCCCAAGUCUACUACCUGCUUUGUUUGGGACUGAGUGUCCUCACUGGUAACAGGGGUGACAGAGUUUUUUUUUCAAGGGGCCUAGUGAAGAUUGAGUGAGAUGGCACCUAAGAAGUACUUGGGAUCAGCCAUAAAAAGAGGGAAACCCUGCCAAUUGCAACAACGUGGGUGGCC